UCUCGACACGUCUCGUUCAAAGCAAGUCUUAGGUAGAGAAAUUAUAGGGGCAAGAGACCUCUCCAAGUUGUGAACUCGGCAAAAUAGCCCCGGAACUUCGGGAGAAGGGGUGCCUCCUCAAAAAGGGGGUUAAAGGGUGCCACAGAAUCGGAGGCCCCGACAGUUUACCUAAAACACAGACAUUUGCAAGGAUUAAUUUCUUGGUAUAGGCGUUGAAUUUUGCCCGAUGCCAUUAAUAUAAGGUUAAUAGGCGCUGGGGAUCUUUAUUUUCGAAGCCUCGGUUCACGGCCGCUGUAACCAUAACGGUCCUAAGGUAGCGAAAUUCCUUGUCGGGUAAGUUCCGACCCGCACGAAAGGAGUAACGAUGUUGGCACUGUCUCGGAGAGAGAUCUCGGUCAAAUAGACAUAGCCGGAAAAUGCGCUCCUUGCCACUCCACCGUG
rnacentral:rRNA from 1 species